CAAAUAUGGGACUUUCCUCAAAAUUAAAGAGCUUUCCAUUUAUUUUAGCUUGAUUGGGCUUGAUUUUUUCCAUAUGAAUUGUUAUUUCAUUGUUACACAGAGGUAUGUCCUUCCAUCUUUUAAUUUAGAACAGUUACACAAGUCGAA